UCGUGACCUGAGCUGAAGUCGGACGCUUAACCGACUGAGCCACCCAGGUGCCCCUGGAACUAACCACAUUUUAAGAGCUCAGUAGCCACCUGUGGCUAGUGGCUACCAUAUUGUACAGUACAGCUAUAAACAUUUCCAUCAUGAUAGAAAAUUCUAUUGGACAGUGCUGGUCAGACUACAGCCCAUGAGCCAAAUCUGACCCACUGUUUCUUUUUAUAAAUAAAGUUUUUUGGGGUACAGCCAUGCUUAUUCAUUUGGACACUGCCUAUGGCUGGUUUUUGCAAAAGUUCUAUUAGACACUGCUGCACUAGAGCAGAGGUCAGCAAACUACCACUAGUGGGCCAAGCGUGGCCCUGAUUGUGUUUUUAUAAAUAAAGUUUUAUUGGCACACAAUCCUACAUAUUUGUUUACAUAUUGCCUGUGAUUGUUCUCUGGACUACAGAGGCAGAGUUUAGUAAUUGUGACAGAGAUCGUCUGGCCCACAUCUGAAAAUGUUUACUGUCCUUGCCCUUUACAGAAGAAGUUUACCAACUCCUUCUCUAGAGGCAGUCUCACAGCCCAAAUCAUCAGUCUAGAACUGGUUCUCAAAGUGUGGUCUUUGGACCAGUAGUAUCAGCAUCAUCUGCCUGGAAAUGUGUUAGAAAUGCCAAGUCUCAGGCCCUCCCCUGGACCUACUGAAUCAGAAAUGUUGGAGGUGAGGCCCAGAAAUCCGUUCUAACCAGCCACCCAGGUGAGUCGGAUGCACAUUCAAGUUGAAAACCACCAACCUGAAACACCCACGGUGAAUGUGCCCAUGAGUGGCCCGCACAGUAGAGAUACUGAUGGGUUCCCAUGGGAACAGAGCAUUUAGAAAGAUGUCAGAAGAAUGAUAGCCUUUGUGCAGCAAGGCCUUUGACAUCCCCUCGACCAGGCCAUGAGCGCUGGGAGGGGACCUCUCACCAGCCCCCGGUGCGGAUGCCCAGGCCCCACUGCCUGACGGCCCACCCUCCUACGAAGCUGUCAGCACAUUUGGCUCUGUCUCCACAUAAAUUCAUGGGCCAGCUGUCUCUUUUAAUCUGGUUGCAAGAUGAAACCAUUAAUAGAUGUCAGACACAUUGGCAAUGAUCUCUUCAUUAAUAAUUUCCUCCUUUCUAAGGAAAAAAAAAUUAGUAACAAGCAACCAUCAAUAAUUCAAAAAUACGAGUUAACCUUUCUAUUAGCAGAGUGGCUUUGCACACACCGUGGACCCUUUCAGAGCCAGUAGUUCUGACUCGAAUCGUGUUUUAUGGCGCAAAUAUUAACAUGCAUUAAUGCUCUCCGUCAAGACGCGCAAAUAUAAAUAACCCAAAUGCAACUUAGAAACCAUAAGUAGUUUUCGAGUGUAACCUCGUGAUCCAACCAUUUUGUUCUGUGAAAACAUGCAUUGUCCAAUAACAUUGCUGUGUCCAAAAGCAGUACUUCACAAAGAAAUCGUUUGCACUGUGAGGCCCUGGUGGUUAGAAAGAUUUCCCUUGCACUGAACCAACACUGCCAGUCUGCACCUUCUUCCCCUCGGAGUUGGCUCCUCUCUCUGGGAACACACGGAAAGAUCCUGAACACGCUUGCAGGUGACUCACUUGGAUGUUGGUGUGCUCUAGGUAAGCAUUCUUGAUUCCUUACACUCUUCUUCAUCCUCUCCUCCUCCUCCUCCUCCUCCUCCCCCUCCUCCUCCCCCUCCUCCUCUUCCUCCUCCUCCUCCUUUGAUUUCUAGUCCCUCACCAUCUGGUUCCUCUUCUCGAACAUACUCUAUUUUGGUAACACCCCUCUUUUGGGCGAGGCCUUGCACCUGCCCAUAUUCCCCAUGCCUCCAUUCACCAGUCAGGUGACCACAAACUAGUCACUCUCUCUCUCCAGUUGUGUUUCCCCAUCUGUGAAAUUGGGGUGAUUAUUCCCACCUCACUGAGCUGAGUGAGAAUUAUGUGAGUUAAUGGAUAUGAAAACAUCUAGAACAGGACCUGGCCCACUCAAGAGAUCAUUUCUUUUCCUUUCUUUCCUACCUCCAAGUCUUGGGUUAACAUACCACCCCAGCCUUGAUUCCAGGCCAACUAUCAUAGGCACCUGGUCGGCAACACAGCACGGACAGCCAGCUGCUUCAUCCUUGGGCCAAAACACCAGCACAUGGUCCAGACUAUUGGCAAGUGGACGUCAGUACUUGAGCUGCCCUGGAUUUAACAAGUAACAUGGACCUCCCACCAUAAAAACAAGGCCCUUGACAGUAACAGAACUCUGCCCACUACAGCCCAGCCUUUGGAUGCUGCACCAAUCAGACACAGAUUGCCAAGAGGGCCUUGGGAAGGAGAUUCCCACAGGGCAGCCAGGAAUGGGUUUCUGCUGCAGUGGUCUUCAACCCUUCUCCAUGUUAGAAUCACCUGGGGCCCCACCCUCGCCAUUGAGUUAUUUGAGUAGGAGCCAGGCAACAGUAGUUUUUAAAGCUCCCCAGUAUUUCCACUAAAAACCACUGCAAGGACUCCUCACUUGGAGUCUCCCCAGCCCUGGGUGGGCUAUGAAUCAUCUCAGAAAUUUAAAGGGGGUGGACUUGGAGUGGGGUCUACACAGAGCUCUACCUCCUCAUAUUCUCAUACACCCUUAUAAAGAUGCCCCACCCCCUUGCCCAUCUCAGGGAAUCCCUGCAUGGAAGGAGCGGUGAUCCUGGAUGAGUGAUAGUACAUUUCUCAGCAUGGGUCCCCGGGACACAUCCACUCCAGAACCACUCAGGGUAGGUGUGCAUUCAUUUUGCAUGGAACUGAAUCAGAAUCCUUACAGAUUGAAGCUGAGGGGUUUGAUUUUUUUUUUUUUUUUUUUUUAACUUUCACACCAGAGGAUUCUCAGGCACAUUAAGUUUGUGAAUGGUUAAUGCCAUGUUAGGACGAGGAAGUUGAAAACCCGCAGAUACAACCUUGAGCCUACUGAGGCCAGGUCUGCAUCUUGCCCAUUUUUGUGUUUCUGACAGCUAAAAGGGUUUAGAGGAUGAAUACUGAGACUGGAGCGUGUACACACAUUGUAUUUUAGGCACGACUCUUUCUUACAAAUGACAUGUCUAGCUCAAAGCAACUUACGUGAAAAGAGGAAUCCAGUGGCUUAUUUAGCUGAGCGAUUCAUAAGCACCUUCAGACAAAGCUGCAUCCAGGUGUUCAGUUGUCCCUCUCUCUCUCUUUCCCUCUCCAUCUCUCAAAGGUGCUUCUCUCAGUGGGUAGUCAGGGAAAAUUGGGCAGUGACCACUCCAUAUAUGGGUCUCAUGGCUUAGAGCCUUCAGUAGCAUCCCUGCCAAACUCUAGUGAAGAUACUUUGUCUGAUGUAGGUCACAUCCAUUUCCUGAAACAAUCGAUUUGGUCAGGAAAGUGGCAGAGAGGACAAUACUAUAAUUGGCCAGCCUCAGUCAUUUGUCCACCCCUCCAUAUAGGGGGUGGUCACCAUAAUUGACAGUCCCAUAAAGACCAAAUGGAGUGGGGAAGGAGUGUUUUCUCUAAAGGAUCUUGGGCAGUCAGGUAGCCUGUAUCCACCUCACUUAUAAAUCACAAUGCUCAUAAACCUGUUUAGUAAGUGAUCUGCUGACCUAACUCCUCACCCAGGGUCUGCUCUCUGCUUAACCUGCUCUGCAUUCUGACACUCCAUUCAGUCCUUCGUUACCCACAGAGACCCUAUGAUUUUUAUACAACCUACCCUUCCAACGUACCAAGGCAUAAGUGUUAUCCUCAAAAUAUUUUCAAGCAGCCAGCUCCUCUAUAGCCAAUCCAACGGAAUAAAUAGUUCUUUCAUCUUCAGAAAAUGGCGACUGUUGAAGAAAUAUUUUAGUCCACAACACAGAAAGAGAUUUCACCCGAAAUGAUAGCCACAAACUUUAGCCCCCAGAAUCUCCUUCACCACUCCCGGAACCGAGCUGGAUAACAGCAGAAGACUCUAAGCACACUGAGAUCCUUCAUUGGCGUGACAGGCCAGACUGCACACGUUUAUUCAAGCCAUUCUCACGUCAAAUAAAACGUUGAUAAAUCAUUAUUUCUACAAGCUAAAAAAAUGCUAAUAACUCAAGGCAGAAUGAGAUUGAGUUUGUUGAAAUGAAUGUGAAGAAUGGAUGGGGACAAUCUUGGAAUGUAAAACCAUAGAAAAUACCACCUGGGAACACAGAGAUCAUUUGUCUUAUCUGGAAGCCUGUCUCCAGGGUGGCAAAUGUAGGGAUUGGUUUGAGGACAGAGUAUGCCCUGUGCUCUGGGAGGGGGCUGAAGGGCAGGGAGGCAGAGGUUCUCCUUUACCCAAAACUACCAUUCAUCUCUGUCUGCCACAGAAGCUUAAAGAUUGAUAAUCUUGGGGAUUUUCCACUUUGGUUUUUCUUCUGCCUUUCCGAAAUGUUUGAACUUGCACUGACCUUGAGCCAGGCCCGCAGCUAAAAGCCCGGCAUGCACCAUCCACCCCACAGUUCUCAUUAUUCCCAAUGUACAGGUGAGGAAACCGAGGUAUGAGGAGGUUUGGUGCUUCAGGAUGGAUGCUGGUUUUAGGUUUGACUUUCCUCUCUACCUGUCCUAGAUGUUUUAAAAUCACUGUAAUUGUGUCUCCCCACCGUGGAUCAAGAAUGCUAGUCCAACCGUCUCUAAACCCUUGUCAUUUUAUAGACAUCUCAGUAGAGCUUUGCUAGUAAACAAACAAACAAACAAACAAACAAAUACAUUCCGCUUACCCAGAAGCCAGAUCCCCUGCAAUAACUUCCCAGCUAGGUUCUCCCCGGAGCAGAAGAAUGUGCCAUUAUAGUCUGGGUUGAUUUUGUUUUUUUUGAAGGCUUUGUUCUUUCAAUUUUUCAGGCCUUACCUACCCCAGGAGGAACCAACGUAUGAUAACAGAGACAAUGUAACCUGAAAAAGUCCCCAGAUUAACAAAGGAAGAUACUCCCCAGUGCUCAGAUGGGGUCAGAGCCUCUGCUUUGAGGGACUGGACCUCUGUCUAAUUCUUGUUUCCUGCAAGAAGAAUAUUAAGGGCCCAUGAAUGUUUUAAGACACAAAUGUAUGGAAUUUUCUCAGGUUUCUCUCUCGGAUAGGAUUCAAAAAAAAAAAAAAAUCAGGAAUUGACAAAUGGUAAAUACUUCCUUACUGCUAGUAAUGCUUCCCCCACUCCUUCCCCUUUUUCUUCUCCUGAAACUCCUCUAACAUGAAUUUAUUUUCUAUUUGAAAGCCAAUCUCACUGGUUAUUAGAUAUUCUCCCUGCUGUCACCAUCAGUAAAUUAUUAAACAGCUGACCAAGCUUUGUUUUAAAAUGA